UCCUACGGGGGGCAGCAGUGGGGAAUAUUGCACAAUGGGGGAAACCCUGAUGCAGCAACGCCGCGUGGGUGAAGGAGCGUUUCGGCGCGUAAAGCCCUGUCAGCGGGGAAGAAGAAAGACGGUACCCGACCAAGAAGCCCCGGCUAACUACGUGCCAGCAGCCGCGGUAAUACGUAGGGGGCGAGCGUUAUCCGGAUUUACUGGGUGUAAAGGGAGCGCAGGCGGCUUGGCAAGUCUGAUGUGAAAGGCUGGGGCUCAACCCCAGGACUGCAUUGGAAACUGUUAGGCUGGAGUGUCGGAGAGGG
rnacentral:rRNA from 1 species